GAGAGCAAAGUACCUCAUAAUCAGUGAAUAAAAAAAAUACAGAAAAAUUGGUGAGAGAAAGAGAGAGAGAGAAAAAAAAAAAAAGAGAGAGAGAGAGAGGAGAGAUUAAAGAUAGCUCACUCUCUCAACGUGGCCAUGGAGGGGAUAUACGGAAACCACCUCCCUGACAUUGGCUACCUGUGUGAAGAGUACCUGGGAAGCCUCGACCAACAACAACAACAACAACAACAACAACAACAACAACAACAACAACAAUAUUCUCCAUUAUACUCACAAUAUCGGUCUCAGGAGGUCAGUGACAGCCAGCCAGGGUACCAGCCUCUCCUGCCCCCCUCCCUUGAACUAUCGUGGCGGGAGAAUAGUCAACAUGUAGUGGCUGAUAGUCCCCUGUUCGAACCCAUAACUACUACAGACUGGACAUCACACUCCCUCUCUCCAUUGGGAUAUUUGGACGUGGCAGCAGGAGGAGAGGAAGAGGAGAAGAAGGAAUAGGAGGAGAAAUACCCUUUUACCUCCAAGACUAUCCUCUCUCCUUCUCUCCCUUAAAGCAAGAGAGGAGGGAAGAGGAGGAGGAGGAAGAGGAAGACGAAGAGGUGAUAAGGAGUUUACAAGAAAUGGAUCUACAUGAAGAAUAUUUGUUGCUUAUAGAUGACGCGAUAACAAAGGAGGGGAAGGAAGAGGGACGAAGGGAAGAAGACAGGACGAAGACAGAAGAAGAAGAAGUGGAAGAAGAAGAAGAAGAAGAAGAAGUGGAAGAAGAAUUAAAAAGUCUCUCUUCUUCUCUGUUAGGGAAGAUACAGUCAAAAACAAGGA